GACGAACGCUGGCGGCGUGCUUAACACAUGCAAGUCGAACGGAGAGGCCCUGCUUUUGUGGGGUGCUCGAGUGGCGAACGGGUGAGUAACACGUGAGUAACCUGCCCUUGACUUUGGGAUAACUUCAGGAAACUGGGGCUAAUACCGGAUAGGAGCUCCUGCUGCAUGGUGGGGGUUGGAAAGUUUCGGCGGUUGGGGAUGGACUCGCGGCUUAUCAGCUUGCUGGUGGGGUAGUGGCUUACCAAGGCUUUGACGGGUAGCCGGCCUGAGAGGGUGACCGGCCACAUUGGGACUGAGAUACGGCCCAGACUCCUACGGGAGGCAGCAGUGGGGAAUAUUGCACAAUGGGCGGAAGCCUGAUGCAGCAACGCCGCGUGCGGGAUGACGGCCUUCGGGUUGUAAACCGCUUCCGCCUGUGACGAAGCGUGAGUGACGGUAAUGGGUAAAGAAGCACCGGCUAACUACGUG
rnacentral:rRNA from 1 species